AACUGAUACUACCUGCGGGAACCUGCGGAGGGAUCAUUAAUGAGUUGUAAUGGGUUUGAUGCUGGCGUCCAAUUUAUGGGUGCAUGUGCUUGCCCUAACAAAUCAUCUUCCAAACACCUGUGCACAUUUUGAGGGAGUUUCUAGUUGAUCGCCACUUUGUUGGUGAUUUUCUGACAUUCCCUCAAGUCAUUCAUUAUACGCUGUUAAUAAUGCUGAACGUGCUUUGUGCCGCAAAGGCCU
rnacentral:misc_RNA from 1 species